rfam:Homo sapiens chromosome 6, GRCh38 reference primary assembly.
GCUGGGCGUGGUGGCGGGCGCCUGUAAUCCUAGCUACUCGGGAGGCUGAGGCAGGAGAAUCGCUUGAACCCGGGAAGCAGCGGUUGCAGUGAGCCGAGAUCAGGACAUUGCACUCCCGCCUGGGCGACAGGGCGAGACUCUGUCUCAA